AACGAACGCUGGCGGCAGGCUUAACACAUGCAAGUCGAGCGCCCCGCAAGGGGAGCGGCAGACGGGUGAGUAACGCGUGGGAAUCUACCCAUCUCUACGGAAUAACGCAUGGAAACGUGUGCUAAUACCGUAUACGUCCUUCGGGAGAAAGAUUUAUCGGAGAUGGAUGAGCCCGCGUUGGAUUAGCUAGUUGGUGGGGUAAAGGCCUACCAAGGCGACGAUCCAUAGCUGGUCUGAGAGGAUGAUCAGCCACACUGGGACUGAGACACGGCCCAGACUCCUACGGGAGGCAGCAGUGGGGAAUAUUGGACAAUGGGCGCAAGCCUGAUCCAGCCAUGCCGCGUGAGUGAUGAAGGCCCUAGGGUUGUAAAGCCCUUUCGCCGGUGAAGAUAAUGACGGUAACCGGAGAAGAAGCCCCGGCUAACUUCGUGCCAGCCGCCGCCGUAAUAC
rnacentral:rRNA from 1 species